UACGUAGGGUGCGAGCGUUAAUCGGAAUUACUGGGCGUAAAGCGUGCGCAGGCGGUUUGUUAAGACAGAUGUGAAAUCCCCGGGCUUAACCUGGGAACUGCAUUUGUGACUGCAAGGCUAGAGUACGGCAGAGGGGGAUGGAAUUCCGCGUGUAGCAGUGAAAUGCGUAGAUAUGCGGAGGAACACCGAUGGCGAAGGCAAUCCCCUGGGCCUGUACUGACGCUCAUGCACGAAAGCGUGGGGAGCAAACAGG
rnacentral:rRNA from 1 species